rnacentral:rRNA from 1 species
CCUACGGGAGGCUGCAGUGGGGAAUAUUGGACAAUGGGCGAAAGCCUGAUCCAGCCAUGCCGCGUGUGUGAAGAAGGCCUUCGGGUUGUAAAGCACUUUCAGUGGGGAAGAAAGCCUUGGGGCUAAUACCCUCGAGGAAGGACAUCACCCACAGAAGAAGCACCGGCUAACUCCGUGCCAGCAGCCGCGGUAAUACGGAGGGUGCGAGCGUGAAUCGGAAUUACUGGGCGUAAAGCGCGCGUAGGCGGUCUGAUAAGCCGGUUGUGAAAGCCCCGGGCUCAACCUGGGAACGGCAUCCGGAACUGUCAGGCUAGAGUGCAGGAGAGGAAGGUAGAAUUCCCGGUGUAGCGGUGAAAUGCGUAGAGAUCGGGAGGAAUACCAGUUGCGAAGGCGGCCUUCUGGACUGACACUGACGCUGAGGUGCGAAAGCGUGGGUAGCAAACAGGAUUAGAUACCCGUGUAGUC